rnacentral:rRNA from 1 species
GAAGCGGCAACAGCUCAAAUUUGAAAUCUGGCGCAAGCCCGAGUUGUAAUUUGUAGAGGAUGCUUCAGGGCAGCGGCCGGUCUAAGUUCCUUGGAACAGGACGUCAUAGAGGGUGAGAAUCCCGUAUGCGACCGGUUGGCACCCGUCACGUAGCUCCUUCGACGAGUCGAGUUGUUUGGGAAUGCAGCUCUAAAUGGGAGGUAAAUUUCUUCUAAAGCUAAAUACCGGCCAGAGACCGAUAGCGCACAAGUAGAGUGAUCGAAAGAUGAAAAGCACUUUGGAAAGAGAGUUAAAAAGCACGUGAAAUUGUUGAAAGGGAAGCGCAUGCAACCAGACUUGUCGGCGGUGUUCCGCCGGUCUUCUGACCGGUCUACUCGCCGCCGGCAGGCCAGCAUCAUCUGGGCGCGCCAGACAAAGGCGUGGGGAAUGUGGCUCCUCGGAGUGUUAUAGCCCCGCGCACAAUACGGCGCCGCUCGGGUGAGGUCCGCGCUUCGGCUAGGAUGCUGGCGUAAUGGUUGUAUGCGGCCCGUCUUGAAACACGGACCAAGGAGUCUAACAUCUAUGCGAGUGUUCGGGUGUCAAACCCCUACGCGUAAUGAAAGUGAACGGAGGUGGGAAGCGCAAGCUGCACCAUCGACCGAUCCUGAUGUCUUCGGAUGGAUUUGAGUAAGAGCAUAGCUGUUGGGACCCGAAAGAUGGUGAACUAUGCCUGAAUAGGGUGAAGCCAGAGGAAACUCUGGUGGA